rnacentral:rRNA from 1 species
CCUACGGGUGGCUGCAGUCGAGAAUCAUUCACAAUGGGGGAAACCCUGAUGGUGCGACGCCGCGUGGGGGACUGAAGGUCUUCGGAUUGUAAACCCCUGUCAUGUGGGAGCAAAUUAAAAAGAUAGUACCACAAGAGGAAGAGACGGCUAACUCUGUGCCAGCAGCCGCGGUAAUACAGAGGUCUCAAGCGUUGUUCGGAAUCACUGGGCGUAAGGCGUGCGUAGGCUGUUUCGUAAGUCGUGUGUGAAAGGCGCGGGCUCAACCCGCGUAUGGCACCUGAUACUGCGAGACUAGAGUAAUGGAGGGGGAACCGGAAUGCUCGGUGUAGCAGGGAAAUGCGUAGAUAUCGAGAGGAACACUCGUGGCGAAGGCGGGUUCCUGGACAUUAACUGACGCUGAGGCACGAAGGCCAGGGGAGCGAAAGGGAUUAGAUACCCGAGUAGUC